GACGAACGCUGGCGGCGUGCUUAACACAUGCAAGUCGAGCGGUAAGGCCCUUUCGGGGGUACACGAGCGGCGAACGGGUGAGUAACACGUGAGCAAUCUGCCCUUCACUUCGGGAUAACCACCGGAGACGGUGGCUAAUACCGGAUAUGACUGCCUUGGGCAUCCGGGGUGGUGGAAAGUUUUUUCGGUGGAGGAUGAGCUCGCGGCCUAUCAGCUUGUUGGUGGGGUGAUGGCCUACCAAGGCGACGACGGGUAGCCGGCCUGAGAGGGUGACCGGCCACACUGGGACUGAGACACGGCCCAGACUCCUACGGGAGGCAGCAGUGGGGAAUAUUGGACAAUGGGCGGAAGCCUGAUCCAGCAACGCCGCGUGAGGGAUGACGGCCUUCGGGUUGUAAACCUCUUUCAGUACCGACGAAGCGCGAGUGACGGUAGGUACAGAAGAAGCACCGGCCAACUACGUGCCAGCCGCCGCGGUAAAAC
rnacentral:rRNA from 1 species